GACGAACGCUGGCGGCGUGCUUAACACAUGCAAGUCGAACGAUGAAGCUAGAGCUUGCUCUGGUGAAUUAGUGGCGAACGGGUGAGUAACACGUGAGUAACCUGCCCCGAACUCUGGGAUAACUGCUGGAAACGGUAGCUAAUACUGGAUACGACCUACGAAGGCAUCUUCUGUAGGUGGCAAGAAUUUCGGUUCGGGAUGGACUCGCGGCCGAUCAGCUUGUUGGUGAGGUAAUGGCUCACCAGGGAAACGACGGGUAGCCGGCCUGAGAGGGUGACCGGCCACACUGGGACUGAGACACGGCCCAGACUCCGACGGGAGGCAGCAGUGGGGAAUAUUGCACAAUGGGCGCAAGCCUGAUGCAGCAACGCCGCGUGAGGGAUGACGGCCUUCGGGUUGUAAACCGCUUUCAGCAGGGAAGAAGCCGCAAGGUGACGGUACCUGCAGAAGAAGCACUGGCUAACUACGUGCCAGCCGCCGCCGUAA
rnacentral:rRNA from 1 species